UACGUAGGGUGCGAGCGUUAAUCGGAAUUACUGGGCGUAAAGCGUGCGCAGGCGGCUGUGCAAGACAGGUGUGAAAUCCCCGGGCUUAACCUGGGAACUGCGCUUCUAACUGGCAGGCUUGAGUGUGGCAGAGGGGGGUGGAAUUCCACGUGUAGCAGUGAAAUGCGUAGAGAUGUGGAGGAACACCGAUGGCGAAGGCAGCCCCCUGGGCUAACACUGACGCUCAUGCACGAAAGCGUGGGGAGCAAACAGG
rnacentral:rRNA from 1 species